UACCCUUCCUCUGCUGUGCCCUCUCCACCUUCUCUUCCCUGGCGCCUAGUGCCCAGGGUGAAUGCAAAGGGAGGGCUGGGUGAGGGGUUGCUGGGUGGUUCGCUGACUCAGGGAGAGCCACUGCCCCUGUUCCCAGGCCUGCCGCACCCAGCCCUCCCUGCUAUCUUAGGUCAAGUUGCCUAGAAGCAGAGUCUGCGGCGGGGAUUCUUGCGCAGGGUCUCCUUAUAAGAAGAGGAGAGGGCACACAGAGACACACAGGGAAGAAGGCCACGUGACAACAGAGGAGCUCGAGUGGUGUGUCUGCGAGGCCAGGACUUCCAGGAGCCACCAGCAGCUGGAAGAGGCAGAGGAAGCUCCGCCCCAGGAGCCUCAGGAGGAAUGUGGCCCUGCCAGCAACCUCAUCUGACUUGCGGCUUCCUGAGCGAAUGUAACACAAAAGAAUUGCUGGAAAAAAUGAAAUGAACAGGAGACAUACAAAAUACAGCCAAUUAAAA